GCCUUUUGGACCUAGACUUGGUGCUCCGGUACCGCUUGCCGUGCGGUAGCAGAGAGAACAGUCUAUGUUACACUUGCUAAUGUACUAGUCUGCUGCUGUGUAUCUGACUGUGUGUGUGCUAGCGUUCUGUGGAAGGGUGUGUUUACCUACUGUUGGGGGGCUUCCCUGGCGACAUCUGACUGCAGCAUGACUGACUCUGCACAUUGGAGGCACAGUGCUCCAUCGCUAGCUAGGCCUGUCGCUAGCUCCUACCUGGACAGCUUCAGCUUAGUGUCUGCACAGCCUGACACUAUCUUUUUCAACGUCCGCUCACCCAGAAUGGAAACAAGGACUCAAGCUGGUGUUAUGCUGCUCUCCUCUGGUUGUGAAGUGAACUUCAGCAUGGGUACGCCAUUUCUUGAGGAGCUCUUGGUCUCUAAGGGACAAAGAAGGGCAGGGGCCAUACAAAGCACAGUGAGGAUUCAAGUACCCCAUAAACAGUGAUCUAAGCCAGUCUUCUCUCCUCUGACCUCUUCCAGUACUGCAUGUCAAACGGAGGGAGCUCUGGAAAUAUAUUUCUGCUGGUAAUAUCUUUC